AUUGAACGCUGGCGGCAUGCCUUACACAUGCAAGUCGAACGGCAGCAUGAUCUAGCUUGCUAGAUUGAUGGCGAGUGGCGAACGGGUGAGUAAUACAUCGGAACGUGCCCUGUAGUGGGGGAUAACUAGUCGAAAGAUUAGCUAAUACCGCAUACGACCUGAUGGUGAAAGUGGGGGACCGCAAGGCCUCAUGCUAUAGGAGCGGCCGAUGUCUGAUUAGCUAGUUGGUGAGGUAAAGGCUCACCAAGUCGACGAUCAGUAGCUGGUCUGAGAGGACGAUCAGCCACACUGGGACUGAGACACGGCCCAGACUCCUACGGGAGGCAGCAGUGGGGAAUUUUGGACAAUGGGCGAAAGCCUGAUACAGCAAUGCCGCGUGUGUGAAGAAGGCCUUCGGGUUGUAAAGCACUUUUGUCCGGAAAGAAAUGGCUCUGGUUAAUACCUGGGGUCGAUGACGGUACCGGAAGAAUAAGGACCGGCUAGCUACGUG
rnacentral:rRNA from 1 species